UACGGGAGGCAGCAGUGGGGAAUAUUGCACAAUGGGCGCAAGCCUGAUGCAGCCAUGCCGCGUGUAUUGAAGAAGGCCUUCGGGUUGUAAAGUACUUUCAGCAGUGAGGAAGGUGGGUAUGUUAAUAGCAUACUCAUUUGACGUUAGCUGCAGAAGAAGCACCGGCUAACUCCGUGCCAGCAGCCGCGGUAAUACGGAGGGUGCGAGCGUUAAUCGGAAUUACUGGGCGUAAAGCGCAUGCAGGUGGUUUGUUAAGUCAGAUGUGAAAGCCCGGGGCUCAACCUCGGAAUUGCAUUUGAAACUGGCAAACUAGAGUACUGUAGAGGGGGUAGAAUUUCAGGUGUAGCGGUGAAAUGCGUAGAGAUCUGAAGGAAUACCGGUGGCGAAGGCGGCCCCCUGGACAGAUACUGACACUCAGAUGCGAAAGCGUGGGGAGCAAACAGGAUUAGAUACCCUGGUAG
rnacentral:rRNA from 1 species